AUACAUAGUCAAACGAAGCGAACCGGGGGAACUGAAACAUCUCAGUACCCCGAGGAAAAGAAAUCAACCGAGAUUCCCCUAGUAGCGGCGAGCGAACGGGGAGCAGCCCAGAGUCUUAAUCAGCAUUAGCAUCAGGAGAACGGUCUGGAAAGUCCGGCAGUAAAGGGUGAUAGCCCCGUAUCCGAAGGUGUUAGUGUUGUGAACUCGACGAGUAGGGCGGGACACGUGUUAUCCUGUCUGAAUAUGGGGGGACCAUCCUCCAAGGCUAAAUACUCCUGAUUGACCGAUAGUGAACCAGUACCGUGAGGGAAAGGCGAAAAGAACCCCGGCGAGGGGAGUGAAAUAGAACCUGAAACCGUGUACGUACAAGCAGUGGGAGCCUUGAUUUAUCAGGGUGACUGCGUACCUUUUGUAUAAUGGGUCAGCGACUUAUAUUCUGUAGCAAGGUUAACCGAAUAGGGGAGCCGUAGGGAAACCGAGUCUUAACUGGGCGAAUAAGUUGCAGGGUAUAGACCCGAAACCCGGUGAUCUAGCCAUGGGCAGGUUGAAGGUUGGGUAACACUAACUGGAGGACCGAACCGACUAAUGUUGAAAAAUUAGCGGAUGACUUGUGGCUGGGGGUGAAAGGCCAAUCAAACCGGGAGAUAGCUGGUUCUCCCCGAAAGCUAUUUAGGUAGCGCCUCGUGAACUCAUCUUCGGGGGUAGAGCACUGUUUCGACUAGGGGGUCAUCCCGACUUACCAACUCGAUGCAAACUACGAAUACCGAAGAAUGUUAUCACGGGAGACACACGGCGGGUGCUAACGUUCGUCGUGAAGAGGGAAACAACCCAGACCGCCAGCUAAGGUCCCAAAGUCAUAGUUAAGUGGGAAACGAAGUGGGAAGGCUCAGACAGCCAGG
rnacentral:rRNA from 1 species